CUUUAAUUAGAUGUCAAUCAGUUCCAAUUUGAUGUCUUCAAUUAGAUGUCAAUCAGUUCAAAUUUGUAAUUAAAAAAUGCAACGAUUCAUUUUCCUAGAUUUAUUCCAAUAAUGUGCUU